rnacentral:lncRNA from 1 species
GAAAACUCAUGAAAUUUGGCAGGACGACCGGGCCUGGUGAAAAAUUCGAUAUUCUGAAGUCGCCCAAACAAUAAAAUGCAAAAUGGCUCCAUAGCGCCCCCUAAGGUGGAAAUUCACACUAUUGACUGUCACGCCUGUACGCUUUGUCAUAUUGACACAAAAAUUGACACACAUAUGUAUCUCAAUAAGAUCUACAAAAAAGUCAGUGCAGCCGUAUCUGUCAAAUGUACGGUUAAAGGGUUAUUUCGCAUUUUUUUCCGAUCCGCACACAUUAGAAUUUCGCUAACUCCUCCGAAGGCUUUCGUUCCACCGGCACCACAUUUGCUCAGGCCAAUCUACACCCCGUGGCCAUUAAAAGUUAUCAAAAUCAUGACGCUGCACCCCAAGGUUUAGGUUCUAGGGGGCGCCAAAGAUUACACUAAAAUCCACAUAUUUAAAAGUCUUAUAACUUUUUAUUUUUGUCCUCACUGGCCUCCAAGUUUUCUAGGAUGAUGCAAUGUCCAGCCAUCAACACAUUUGUGAAGGAAUUUUUACUCCCCAAAAGAGCGCCCCCCCAUGGCAGGAGAAAAAAGUCCAUUUUUUCUUGUCCCCUAAGGUGGAAAUUCACACUAUUGACUGUCACGCCUGUACGCUUUAUCAUAUUGACACAAAAAUUGACACACAUAUGUAUCUCAAUAAGAUCUACAAAAAAGUCAAUGCGCGCGUAUCUGUCAAAUAUACGGUUAAAGGGCUAUUUUGCAUUUUUUGCCGAUUCGCACACAUUGGAAUGUGGCUAACUCCUCCUAAGGCUUUCGUCCCACUGACACCAAAUUUGCUCAGGCCAAUCUACACCCCAUGGCCAUUCAAAGUUGUAAAAAUCAUGACGCUGCACCCCACGGUUUACGUUCUAGGGGGCGCCAAAGAUGACCCAAAAAUCCACAUUCUUAAAGGAAUCCACAUCCCCCCCCAAGGCAGGAGAAAAAGUCAAGUUAACCCUGCCCAUCGCUCAAUGGCUCAAUCGCAUCGCUCUCCAGGCAACACCGUAAGGAGGAGCAACCUGCCAUUUCGAUAUAUCAUAGCUGUGUUUGUGCCCUCACUCAUGGUCCAGACUUUUUUCAAAUAGGACAUGAAGUUUGUCUGCAGCGAGUGUUUUGGUAGAAACUGCGCCUCCCAUUCAUUAUAAUGGGAAAUGACCACAGACAAGUGCGCACACCAUCUUUGGACCUUGAGUGUGACGCGAUCGGGAGGGGGAGGCGGUCGCGCUAGGGGCGGCGCGACGCGGCUCGGGCCCGACAGUGCCCCACCGGGGCCCUAGUUUAUUAUUAUUAUUAGGGCCCGAGCCAGCUGCGGAGCAGCCGGGCGUAGGCCCUAUUAUUCCCCAAGUGGUUUUUCUUUGUUUCUUUCUUUCUUUCUUUAGGGCCCGAGCGUAGCUGCUAAGCAGCUGCGAGAGCCCUAUUAUUCCCCAAGAGGUUUUUCUUUGUUUCUUUCUUUAGGGCCCGAGCGUAGCUGCUAAGCAGCUGCGAGAGCCCUCUUGUUCCUGCAUGUUUCCUUCUUUCGUUAUUAUUUUUCCUCCGCUUUAAACUGGAAAAUGGCCCACUUCCCACUGGCGAAAACUCAGGAAAUUUGGCAGGACGACCGGGCCUGGUGAAAAAUUCGAUAUUCUGAAGUCGCCCAAACAAUAAAAUGCAAAAUGGCUCCAUAGCGCCCCCUAAGGUGAAAAUUCACAUGACGGCUGUACGCUUUGUCAUAUUGACACAAAAAUUGACACACACAUGUAUCUCAAUAAGAUCUACAAAAAAGUCAGUGCGGGCGUAUCUGUCAAAUGUACGGUUAAUGGGUUAUUUUGCAUUUUUUGCAGAUCUGCACACAUUGGAAUUUCGCUAACUCCUCUGAAGGCUUUCAUUCGACCGGCACCACAUUUGCGCAGGCCAAUCUACCCCCCAUGGCCAUUAAAAGUUGUACAAAUCAUGACGCUGCACCCCACGGUUUACGUUCUAGGGGGCGCCAAAGAUAACCCAAAAUCCACAUUCUUAAAAGUCUUAUAACUUUUUAUUUUUGUCCUCACUGCCCUCCAAGUUUUCUAGGAUGAUGCAAUGUCCAGCCAUCAACACAUUUGUGAAGGAAUUUUUACUCCCCAAAAGAGCGCCCCCCCAUGGCAGGAGAAAAAAAGUCAAUUUUUUCUUGUCCCCUUACAUGAAAAUACACAUUGUUGAGUGUCAUGCCUGAACGCUUUGUCAUAUUGACACAAAAAUUGACAAUCACGUGUAUCUCAAUUAGAUCUACGAAAAAGUCAAAAAGCGCGUAUCUGUAUAAUGUACGGUUAAAGGGCUAUUUCGCAUUUUUUGCCGAUUCGCACACAUUGGAAUGUGGCUAUCUCCUCCUAAGGCUUUCGUCCCACCGAUACCAAAUUUGCUCAGGGCAAUCUACACCCCAUGCCCAUUCAAAGUUGUAAAAAUCAUGACGCUGCACCCCACGGUUUACGUUCUAGGGGGCACCAAAGAUGACCCAAAAAUCCACAUUCUUAAAAGUCAUUUUGGCCACUGCAGGAGUACAGAGUACUGCAGUUCUAGGGGGCGCCAAAGAUGACCCAAAAAUCCACAUUCUUAAAAGUCUUUUUGGCCACUGCAGGAGUACAGAGUACUGCAGGAUACACACACAUAUACACACACACACACACACACACACACACACACACACACACACACACACUCAGAGUCUGUUUUUUAGCACCUGCAAAAACAUGCUGUUUACAUAUUUGACAAGAAUGCAGAGGCUUCCUUUUGCCCCUGAAAAAAAUCAGAUUUCAAACACAACUUGACUGUUCAUUUCUCCAAAAGACAACCAUGAAGCUCCAUCCAAACCUGAAGCAGAUAGUUGGUGCAUGUGUACAGUAACCUGAGGGGAGUGAGGUGACUAUUUCUGAGGAGAACAUGAGCAGUGAAGAUUCACCUUGGAGCUAGAACAGGGACGUGCACAUGAUUAUACAGGGGCAGGGGCUCAAGUUUUUUCCAGUCAUUUAUACAAUAUGGAAAUUAAUGUGAAAUUAAAACACAAAUAUGUGUGAUGAACUGUUUUUAAAACUUAAACUUCAAAUAAAAAUUGUAAACUUCAAAACAUAUGCAAAUUUUUAACAAAGAACAUAGUAAUUUACUUCUAUUUACAUCAAAAUGCAGGCAAUGGCCCAGGCGUUCUUUGUAAAAUUAUUUACAAAACACUGUAUAGUCUCACAAAUGUCACUUUUUAUUUAUGCCACUACAAAAAAACAUGAUGUAAAUGAUGCAUGAUGUAAAACAUGAUGUAAAAAACUUGUGUAGAUCCUCCUCUAUGUCAGUCCAUGUGUAAUUUUUCCAUAAUUCUUUGUUUUUUGCAGCAUUUUUGUUAGUGUAGCUGCAGAUUGUGCUGACAGUGUCUAUGGCACAAAAAAAAAAAAAAUUAAAAUGCCUCAACAUGAACCCCUGGUGGUCUCUGAGGGUGAAACCUGCUAACUGCUGCAGCUCUGUCAGCUUCAGUCUCCCAUGCAGAGCUCGGAGCGCAUGUGUGGCUCUGCACCCUUAGCAGCGUUGCUAACUCCUCAGUAAGGAAAGCCUGCUUCAUGUCAGAGUCUCUAAACUCCAGAAGAAGUCGAUAAAAGUCCCUUUCUUUCUAAAAAAAAGUCGUUAGGGGGUCUGAAAAGUAAUUGAAUCUAACAACAAAGUCGCUAGGUUUGCAACUACGUGUCCCAGACUGCAUCCCUGCUGAGAGUCCCUCCCUCCCUUCUCAUGUUGCAGGAAAAACGUAAGCGCCCGCCCCUUGUCAAUCAGUCACCAUAUAAUUUUGGAUUGGUUGUUGUGGUGAAGUUUUCCACCAAUAGGAGAAAUGUUGUGGUGUGUUUUUUUUUUCUUUUGGCAAGCCUUUUCCGCCUGUAAGACCUGUCGCUAAUGUCUGCAUGCUAUGUUUUCCUGUCUCAUACAGCGCGAUCGAGCGCCGAACGUGAUCAAAAUAAGCAGAAAAAAAGUAUCGCGGACAUAAUUUAUCAUAACUCUGGUUUUAUUUGGCCUAUCAACACAAUUUAAAAACUGGUAUAUAGGUUGAGGUCCUCACUUUUGAGAUAAGUUGAAACGGAGAGUCAACGAGGCUCCGUCUUGCAGCUACAUCCGGUUAAAUAUGUCAUGUGACUUGAACGCACACACAGACACACACACACACUCAGAGUCUGGUUUUUAGCACCUGCAAAAACAUGCUAUUUACAUAUUUGACAAGAAUGCAGAGGCUCCUUUUGCCCCUGAAAAAAAUCAAAUUUCAAACACAACUUGACUGGUCAUUUCUCCAAAAGACAACCAUGAAGCUCCAUCCAAACCUGAAGCAGGCAGUUGGUGCAUGUGUACAGUAACCUGAGGGGAGUGAGGUGAGUGCUUCUGAGGAGAACAUGAGCAGUGAAGAUUCACCUUGGAGCUAGAACAGAGACAUGCACAUGAUUAUACAGGGGCAGGGGCUCAAGUUUUUUCCAGUCGUUUAUACAAUAUGGAAAUUAAUGUGAAAUUAAAACACAAAGUAUUAAUAGAAAGGUAAUGACUGUCCUGUGUAGGUGACAGUGAUAUCCAAUAGGCUAGGCACUCACGAGGCUGGCUGUGGCAAGUGUAAGUGAAAGCAACACGCACUGGCAGGAAGAACAGCAAACGCCGAUGAAGGAAAAGGGUCUUUGCAGUGAUGGGCGUUACCAGAGAGGGCGAUGGCCAGAGGACACAAAUGGGACGGGAAGGCAGCACGUUGGGGGGGGGGGGAUGCGACACGGCUCGGGCCCGCCAGUGCCCCAACGGGGCCCUAGUUAGGGCCCGAGCGUAGCUGCUAAGCAGCUGCGAGAGCCCUAUUAUUCCCCAAGUGGUUUUUCUUUGUUUCUUUUUUCUUUUUCCUCCCCUUUGAACUGGAAAAUGGCCCACUUCCCACUGGCGAAAACUCAUGAAAUUUGGCAGGACGACCGGGCCUGGUGAAAAAUUUGAUAUUCCGAAGUCGCCCAAACAAGAAAAUGCAAAAUGGCUCCAUAGCGCCCCCUAAGGUGAAAAUACACAUUGUUGAGUGUCACGCCUGUACGCUUUGUCAAAAUGACACAAAAAUUGACACACACAUGUAUCUCAAUAAGAUCUACAAAAAAGUCCAUGCGCACGUAUCUGUCAAAUGUACGGUUAAAGGGUUAUUCCGCAUUUUUUGCCGAUUCGCACACAUUGGAAUUUCGCUAACUCCUCCGAAGGCUUUCGUUCCACCGGCACCACAUUUGCUCAGGCCAAUCUACACCCCAUGGCCAUUAAAAGUUAUUCAAAUCAUGACGCUGCACCCCACGGUUUAGGUUCUAGGGGGCGCCAAAGAUAACCCAAAAAUCCACAGUCUUAAAAGUCUUAUAACUUUUUAUUUUUGUCCUCACUGGCCUCCAAGUUCUCUAGGAUGAUGCAAUGUCCAGCCAUCAACACAUUUGUGAAGGAAUUUUUACUCACCAAAAGAGCGCCCCCCAUGGCAGGAGAAAAAAGUCAAUUUUUUCUUGUCCCCCAAGGCAAAAAUACACAUUGUUGAAUGUCACGCCUGUACGCUUUGUCAUAUUGACACAAAAUUUGACAAUCACGUGUAUCUCAAUAAGAUCUACGAAAAAGUCAAUGCGCGUGUAUCUGUAAAAUGUACGGUUAAAGGGCUAUUUCGCAUUUUUUGCCGAUUCGCACACAUUGGAAUUUCGCUAACUCCUCCUAAGGCUUUCGUCCCACUGACACCAAAUUUGCUCAGGCCAAUCUACACCCCAUGGCCAUUCAAAUUUGUACAAAUCAUGAAGCUGCACCCCACGGUUAAGGUUCUAGGGGGCGCCAAAGAUGACCCGAAUAUCCCCAUUUUUAAAAGUCUUAAAACUUUUUAUUUUUGUCCUCACUGGCCUCCAAGUUUUCUAGGAUGAUGCAAUGUCCAGCCAUCAACACAUUUGUGAAGGAAUUUUUACUCCCCAAAAGAGCGUCCCCCCAUGGCAGGACAAAAAAGUCAAUUUUUUUCUUGUCUCCUAAGGUGAAAAUACACAUUGUUGAGAUUCACGCCUCUACGCUUUGUCAUAUUGACACAAAAAUUGACACACACGUGUAUCUCAAUAAGAUCUACGAAAAAGUCAAUGGGCACGUAUCUGUAAAAUGUACGGUUAAAGGGCUAUUUUGCAUUUUUUGGCGAUUCGCACACAUUGGAAUGUGGCUAACUCCUCCUAGAGCUUUCGUUUAACCGACACCAAAUUUGCUCAGGCCAAUCUACACCCCAUCACUUUUUAUUUUUGUCCUCACUGGCCUCCAAGUUUUCUAGGAUGAUGCAAUGUCCAGCCAUCAACACAUUUGUGAAGGAAUUUUUACUCCUUAAAAGAGCGCCCCCCCAUGGCAGGAGAAAAAAAUCCAUUUUUUCUUGUCCCAUAAGGUGAAAAUACACAUUGUUCAGUGUCACGCCUGUACGCUUUGUCUUAUUGACACAAAAUUUUACAAUCACGUGUAUCUCAAUAAGAUCUACGAAGAAGUCAAUGCGCACGUAUCUGUAAAAUGUACGGUUAAAGGGCUAUUUUGCAUUUUGUGCCGAUUCGCACACAUUGGAAUGCGGCUAACUCCUCCUAAAGCUUUCGUCCCACCGACACCAAAUUUGCUCAGGCCAAUCUACACCCCAUGGCCAUUCAAAGUUGUACAAAUCAUGACGCUGCACCCCACGGUUUAGGUUCUAGGGGGCGCCAAAGAGGACCCAAAUAUCCACAUUUUUAAAAGUCUUAUAACUUUUUAUUUUUGUCCUCACUGGCCUCCAAGUUUUCUAGGAUGAUGCAAUGUCCAGCCAUCAACACAUUUGUGAAGGAAUUUUUACUCCCCAAAAGAGCGCCCCCCCAUGGCAGGAGAAAAAGUCAAGUUUUUCCUGCCCAUCGCUCAAUGGCUCAAACGCAUCGCUCUCUCGGCAAAACCGAAAGGAAGAGCAACUUGCCAUUUGGAUAUAUACUAGCUGUGUUUGUGCCCUCACUCAUGGUCCAGACUUUUUUCAAAAAGGACAUGGAGUUUGUCUGCAGCGAGCGUUUUGGUAGAAACUGUGCCUCCCAUUCAUUAUAAUGGUAAAUGACCACAGACAAGUGCGCACACCAUCUUUGGACCUUGAGUGUGACGCAAUCGGGAGGGGUAGGCUGUCGCGCUGGGGGCGGCGCGACACGGCUCGGGCCCGCCAGUGCCCCACCGGGGCCCUAGUUCUUUCUUUCUUUCUUCUUUUU